rnacentral:rRNA from 1 species
UAACACGCAGGAGGCAAGCGUUAUUCGGAUUUACUGGGCGUAAAGCGCGUGUAGGCGGUUCGGAGAGUUGGAUGUGAAAGCUCCUGGCUUAACUGGGAGAGGCCGUUCAAUACUUCCGGACUUGGGGAUGGUAGAGGAAGAUGGAAUUCCGAGUGUAGUGGUGAAAUGCGCAGAUAUUCGGAGGAACACCAGUGGCGAAAGCGAUCUUCUAGACCAUAACUGACGCUCAGACGCGAAAGCUAGGGUAGCAAACGGGAUUAGAGACCCCGGUAGUCCUAGCUGUAAACGAUGUAGACUAGGCGUUGGUGGGUUCAAAUCCAUCAGUGCCGGAGCAAACGCGAUAAGUCUACCGCCUGGGGACUACGGCCGCAAGCUUAAAACUCAAAGGAAUUGACGGGGCCCCGCAC